rnacentral:rRNA from 1 species
AACCAACAGGGAUUGCCCUAGUAACGGCGAGUGAAGCGGCAACAGCUCAAAUUUGAAAUCUGGCUCUUUCAGAGUCCGAGUUGUAAUUUGCAGAGGGCGCUUUGGCGUUGGCAGCGGUCCAAGUUCUUUGGAACAGGACGUCACAGAGGGUGAGAAUCCCGUACGUGGUCGCUAGCCUUCGCCGUGUAAAGCCCCUUCGACGAGUCGAGUUGUUUGGGAAUGCAGCUCUAAAUGGGAGGUAAAUUUCUUCUAAAGCUAAAUACUGGCCAGAGACCGAUAGCGCACAAGUAGAGUGAUCGAAAGAUGAAAAGCACUUUGGAAAGAGAGUCAAAUAGCACGUGAAAUUGUUGAAAGGGAAGCGCUUGCAGCCAGACUUGCCUGUAGUUGCUUAUCCGGACUUUUGUCCGGUGCACUCUUCUGCGGGCAGGCCAGCAUCAGUUUGGGCGGUUGGAUAAAGGUCUCUGUCAUGUACCUCCUUUCGGGGAGGCCUUAUAGGGGAGACGACAUACAACCAGCCUGGACUGAGGUCCGCGCAUCUGCUAGGAUGCUGGCGUAAUGGCUGUAAGCGGCCCGUCUUGAAACACGGACCAAGGAGUCUAACAUCUAUGCGAGUGUUUGGGUGUCAAGCCCAGACGCGUAAUGAAAGUGAACGGAGGUGGGAACCUUUUAGGUGCACCAUCGACCGAUCCUGAUGUCUUCGGAAGGAUUUGAGUAAGAGCAUGGCUGUUGGGACCCGAAAGAUGGUGAACUAUGCUUGAAUAGGGUGAAGCCAGAGGAAACUCUGGUGGAGGCUCGCAGCGGUUCUGACGUGCAAAUCGAUCGUCAAAUUUGGGCAUAGGGGCGAAAGACUAAUCGAACUAUCUAGUAGCUGGUUCCUGCCGAAGUUUCCCUCAGGAUAGCAGUAACGUAUUCAGUUUUAUGAGGUAAAGCGAAUGAUUAGAGGCCUGGGGGUUGAAACAACCUUCACCUAUUCUCAAACUUUAAAUAUGUAAGAAGUCCUUGUUACUUGAUUGAACGUGGACACUUGAAUGUACCGUUACUAGUGGGCCAUUUUUGGUAAGCAGAACUGGCGAUGCGGGAUGAACCGAACGCGGGGUUAAGGUGCCAGAAUAUACGCUCAUCAGACACCACAAAAGGUGUUAGUUCAUCUAGACAGCAGGACGGUGGCCAUGGAAGUCGGAAUCCGCUAAGGAGUGUGUAACAACUCACCUGCCGAAUGAACUAGCCCUGAAAAUGGAUGGCGCUCAAGCGUAUUACCCAUACCCCGCCGCCGGGGCAGAAUUUAUGCCCCGGCGAGUAGGCAGGCGUGGAGGCUCGUGACGAAGCCUUGGGGGUGACCCCGGGUCGAACGGCCUCUAGUGCAGAUC